rnacentral:rRNA from 1 species
GACGAACGCUGGCGGCGUGCUUAACACAUGCAAGUCGAACGGAAAGGCCCUGCUUUUGUGGGGUUCUCGAGUGGCGAACGGGUGAGUAACACGUGAGUAACCUGCCCUUGACUUUGGGAUAACUUCAGGAAACUGGGGCUAAUACCGGAUAGGAGCUCCUGCUGCAUGGUGGGGGUUGGAAAGUUUCGGCGGUUGGGGAUGGACUCGCGGCUUAUCAGCUUGUUGGUGGGGUAGUGGCUUACCAAGGCUUUGACGGGUAGCCGGCAUGAGAGGGUGACCGGCCACAUUGGGACUGAGAUACGGACCAGACUCGUACGGGAGGCAGCAGUGGGGAAUAUUGCACAAUGGGCGGAAGCGUGAUGCAGCAACGCCGCGUGCGGGAUGACGGCCUUCGGGUUGUAAACCGCUGUAGCCUGUGACGAAGCGUGAGUGACGGUAAUGGGUAAAGAAGCACCGGCUAACUACGUG